UUGCUGUGAUGACAAAUCUUAGGACACCUUUGGAUUAACCAUGAAAAAAAAACAUGUCCUGAGCAAC
ensembl:snoRNA SNORD58 Small nucleolar RNA SNORD58